AGCCGGAGGGAAACCGAGUCUUAAUUGGGCGUUAAGUUGCAGGGUAUAGACCCGAAACCCGGUGAUCUAGCCAUGGGCAGGUUGAAGGUUGGGUAACACUAACUGGAGGACCGAACCGACUAAUGUUGAAAAAUUAGCGGAUGACCUGUGGCUGGGGGUGAAAGGCCAAUCAAACCGGGAGAUAGCUGGUUCUCCCCGAAAGCUAUUUAGGUAGCGCCUCGUGAAUUCAUCUCCGGGGGUAGAGCACUGUUUCGGCUAGGGGGCCAUCCCGGCUUACCAACCCGAUGCAAACUGCGAAUACCGGAGAAUGUUAUCACGGGAGACACACGGCGGGUGCUAACGUCCGUCGUGAAGAGGGAAACAACCCAGACCGCCAGCUAAGGUCCCAAAGUCAUGGUUAAGUGGGAAACGAUGUGGGAAGGCCCAGACAGCCAGGAUGUUGGCUUAGAAGCAGCCAUCAUUUAAAGAAAGCGUAAUAGCUCACUGGUCGAGUCGGCCUGCGCGGAAGAUGUAACGGGGCUAAACCAUGCACCGAAG
rnacentral:rRNA from 1 species